CAGUCGCCGCGGUAAUACGUAGGUGGCAAGCGUUGUCCGGAAUUAUUGGGCGUAAAGCGCGCGCAGGUGGUUUAAUAAGUCUGAUGUGAAAGCCCACGGCUCAACCGUGGAGGGUCAUUGGAAACUGUUAAACUUGAGUGCAGGAGAGAAAAGUGGAAUUCCUAGUGUAGCGGUGAAAUGCGUAGAGAUUAGGAGGAACACCAGUGGCGAAGGCGGCUUUUUGGCCUGUAACUGACACUGAGGCGCGAAAGCGUGGGGAGCAAACAGGAUUAGAUACCCCCGUAGUCCCUGUCUCUUAUAC
rnacentral:rRNA from 1 species